UUGCUCUUCUGGAUGAGUUGCGAACGGGUGAGUAACGCGUAGGUAACCUGCCUGGUAGCGGGGGAUAACUAUUGGAAACGAUAGCUAAUACCGCAUAACAGUAGAUGUUGCAUGACAUUUGCUUAAAAGGUGCAAUUGCAUCACUACCAGAUGGACCUGCGUUGUAUUAGCUAGUUGGCGGGGUAACGGCUCACCAAGGCGACGAUACAUAGCCGACCUGAGAGGGUGAUCGGCCACACUGGGACUGAGACACGGCCCAGACUCCUACGGGAGGCAGCAGUAGGGAAUCUUCGGCAAUGGACGGAAGUCUGACCGAGCAACGCCGCGUGAGUGAAGAAGGUUUUCGGAUCGUAAAGCUCUGUUGUAAGAGAAGAACGAGUGUGAGAGUGGAAAGUUCACACUGUGACGGUAUCUUACCAGAAAGGGACGGCUAACUACGUGCCAGCAGCCGCGGUAAUACGUAGGUCCCGAGCGUUGUCCGGAUUUAUUGGGCGUAAAGCGAGCGCAGGCGGUUAGAUAAGUCUGAAGUUAAAGGCUGUGGCUUAACCAUAGUACGCUUUGGAAACUGUUUAACUUGAGUGCAAGAGGGGAGAGUGGAAUUCCAUGUGUAGCGGUGAAAUGCGUAGAUAUAUGGAGGAACACCGGUGGC
rnacentral:rRNA from 1 species